rnacentral:rRNA from 1 species
GACGAACGCUGGCGGCGUGCUUAACACAUGCAAGUCGAACGAUGAAGAAGAGAAACGCGAACUUCGGUUCAAAUUUCACUUCGGAUUAGUGGCAGACGGGUGAGUAACGCGUGAGCAACCUACCUCUUACAAAGGGAUAGCCUCGGGAAACCGUGAUUAAUACCAUAUGACACAUUCAUAAGGCAUCUUAAGAAUGUUAAAGCUACGGCGGUAAGAGAUGGGCUCGCGUUCCAUUAGCUAGUUGGUGAGGUAACGGCCCACCAAGGCGACGAUGGGUAACCGGCCUGAGAGGGUGAACGGUCACAUUGGAACUGAGACACGGUCCAAACUCCUACGGGAGGCAGCAGUGGGGAAUAUUGCACAAUGGAGGGAACUCUGAUGCAGCGACGCCGCGUGAGCGAUGAAGGAAUUCGUUUCGUAAAGCUCUGUUCUAUGGGAAGAAAAGGACUGUACCAUAGGAGAAAGCCCCGGCUAAAUACGUG